GACGUAGGGCGCGAGCGUUGUCCGGAUUUAUUGGGCGUAAAGAGCUCGUAGGCGGCUUGUCGCGUCGAUCGUGAAAACUUGUGGCUCAACUACAAGCUGGCGGGCGAUACGGGCAGACUGGAGUACUGCAGGGGAGACUGGAAUUCCUGGUGUAGCGGUGGAAUGCGCAGAUAUCAGGAGGAACACCGGUGGCGAAGGCGGGUCUCUGGGCAGUAACUGACGCUGAGGAGCGAAAGCGUGGGGAGCGAACAGG
rnacentral:rRNA from 1 species